rnacentral:rRNA from 1 species
UACGAAGGGGGCUAGCGUUGCUCGGAAUCACUGGGCGUAAAGCGCACGUAGGCGGUUUGCUAAGUCAGGGGUGAAAUCCUGGAGCUCAACUCCAGAACUGCCUUUGAUACUGGCGGACUUGAGUCCGGGAGAGGUGAGUGGAACUGCGAGUGUAGAGGUGAAAUUCGUAGAUAUUCGGAGGAACACCAGUGGCGAAGGCGGCUCACUGGUCCAUUACUGACGCUGAGGUGCGAAAGCGUGGGGAGCAAACAGGG